UACGGGGGGGGCAAGCGUUGUUCGGAAUUACUGGGCGUAAAGGGCUCGUAGGCGGCCAACUAAGUCAGACGUGAAAUCCCUCGGCUUAACCGGGGAACUGCGUCUGAUACUGGAUGGCUUGAGUUUGGGAGAGGGAUGCGGAAUUCCAGGUGUAGCGGUGAAAUGCGUAGAUAUCAGGAGGAACACCGAUGGCGAAGGCAGGUCUCUGGGCCAUUACUGACACUGAGAAGCGAAAGCAUGGGGAGCGAACAGG
rnacentral:rRNA from 1 species